CACACGCACGCCCGCGCACACGCACGCCCGCGCACGACGGUGUGGGGUGCAAGUGGCCUGUAGGAUGUUUAAUUAAAGAUGGAAGUGGGCCUGGCCGGGAGCCCUGCUGGUAAACAAUGCCAGUUUGUAGCCUCCUCAGGAAUUACCUGGGAAGCCGAAGGACCUGAAAAGAUUGUGCAUGAAGUACCCCCUUGGCGGUCCAAUGAAGUGUCUGUUAUCAGAAGGAAAUGUGUACUUUUUGAGUGCUGCUCACUUUGAAGCCGACCAAGACCUAAUUCAGCCAUGUUGAUGCUCUACGGAGUUAUGCCUUCUUCUGGGCUAGAGAUGAUUGAAUCAGAAGUGGACACCCACCUGACUUUAACCUCCUCCCCUUUGUGGGCUAUACCUAAGCUGCUGAUAUGUCAAGAAUGGCUACCCCUACCAGCUGCCUUCUUCCUUCUGCAGUCAGAGGAAGCUGCAUUUUUCCAGGGAAUUGCCUCCCAGCAGUACAAGGGAUAUGAUCCACCACCCCCUCUCCCCACUGUGCUACUUCAGACAAGCUAA
rnacentral:lncRNA from 1 species